CGCCUCUCAAGUUUAACUUGGUAUUGAGAUUGUGGAGUCAUCUGCAUUCUUUAAAUAUUUACAGCUUGUUAUUUAAGAAAAGCGUUUGAAUUUCUUCGCUGCUUGACAAUAACACAGCUCGAACCUCUUUCUAA
rnacentral:misc_RNA from 1 species